GGUAUGUAAAAAAUCCACAGAUCAAUACCUUCUAAUGAGAAUCAGAUCGUUGUAUAUUAGCCGUUCAUUGACUGUAAAUGUGUGGAUGAGAUCGCCCACACUAAUUUUCUUCUUCUCUGUGAAAAUUGAACAGGGUGGUAUUCAUAUUUGUGGCUUCCAUUCAUCCCAUUGGUGGUAGGUUUUCCUGGAAUUAUAACAAUAAUAAUUGAGAAAUGCAAAAUUAAAAAGAAUAGCAAUAUGUUUCAUACAAAAAUUGGCAGAUACUUCUGCUGGUGGGAACAAAGCUCCAAGUUAUCAUCACAAAAAUGGCAUUAGAGAUCAUGGAGUACGAUGACGUCGUUAAAGGUGUUCCGGUGGUUCAACCAGCUGAUAGACAUUUCUGGUUUCAUAACCCUAAACUUCUCCUCAAUCUCAUCAACUUUGUUCUUUUUGAGGUAAGCAAAUUCAUUCUCUGUUAGCUUCAAUAAAAUUCAUUCUCUGUCAAUUAUUCUUAACACAAAAUUUUGAGAACUAAAUUAAAUAUAUGUGUGUGUAAAUUUGCAGAAUGCAUUUCAACUUGCUUUCUUCAUAUUUAGUUGGGUAAGUGGGUAAUUAAUUGAUUAGUUAAAUAAAUAAAUUCAUUAAUGCAGAAUUCUAUAUAUAAAUAUGAUUAAUAACUAUCUCUAAUCUUCAUUAAUUUUAUACUAACUACUUACAGUAUAAAUUCGGACUCCAGUCUUGCUUCCAUGAAGAAACAGAGGAUAUCGUGAUCAGGAUAUCCAUGGGGUAAGUUUACCGACUGCCAUUUUUUUUUGUAUCAUUAAAUGAUUCAUCAUUAACAAAUCGAUUCCUGCAAAAUCAAUCCAGAAUCAUAACGCAGAUUCUAUGUAGCUACGUUACACUCCCACAGUAUGCAUUGGUAACACAGGUGAGAACUCGAUUUUCCAAAAUCCAAAUCAACCAAAAUCAGAUUACUUAGAAAUCGAUUUUUUCACAGAUGGGAUCGAAGAUGAAACCCGUCAUCUUCAACGAUAGAGUAGCCAAGUCGUUGAAGUACUGGCACAACACGGCCCGACGACGUGUAAAAGACAGUCGGAAGUCCGACUCAGUGACGCCGAACACUAGCCAGACUACGACUCCGACGCACGGAUUUUCACCGAUGUACCUUCUGAAGAAUCACCAGAAAGAGAUCGAGAUCAGCAGCUUUGAAAGCUUCAACAACUCGCCGAGGUACCACACUAGCCGUGAUUCGCAGGAUCGAUUCG
rnacentral:lncRNA from 1 species